rnacentral:rRNA from 1 species
AACGAACGCUGGCGGCAUGCCUAACACAUGCAAGUCGAACGAUCCCUUCGGGGCUAGUGGCGCACGGGUGCGUAACGCGUUGGAACCUGCCCUUAGGUUCGGAAUGACUCAGAGAAAUUUGAGCUAAUACCGGACAAUGUCUUCGGACCAAAGAUUUAUCGCCUUUGGAUGGGCCCGCGUUGGAUUAGCUAGUUGGUGGGGUAAAUGCCUACCAAAGCGACGAUCCAUAGCUGGUCUGAGAGGAUGAUCAGCCACACUGGGACUGAGACACGGCCCAGAAUUCUAAGGGAGGGAGGAAGGGGGGAUAAUGGAAAAAGGGGGGAAGCAUGAUCCAGCAAUGCCGCGUGAGUGAUGAAGGCAUUAGGGUUGUAAAGCGCUUUUAACCGGGAUGAUAAUGACAGUACCGGGAGAAUAAGCCCCGGCUAACUCCGUG